AUUAUUACCAACUUAUACUUUAGAGAGGGAAAAACAAAAGGUAUAGAAGAAAAACAGCCACCAGAAUUAUGUUUAAGCUAUGGUGCGCUUUGUGCACAAGCAUACUUUUUCUACUAUUCAAUUUUGCAAUUUCUAGUCUUGCAAUUGUGCCAACAACACCACCAUUGCCAAUUCUUCCCCUUCCAGCAUUUUCUCAAUUGAAAUGGCAACAAAGGGAAAUCAUAAUGUUCUGCCACUUUGGAGUUAACACAUUCUCUGACUCUGAAUGGGGCACAGGCAAAGAAAACCCAGCCAUAUUCAACCCAGUUGGGCUUGACGCAAAUCAAUGGGUGAACACAGCUGUGGAGGCAGGAAUUUCUCUCAUGAUCCUAACUGCAAAACACCAUGAUGGGUUUUGCUUGUGGCCUUCAAAGUACACUGACCAUUCUGUGAAAAGGAGUCCUUGGAAAAAUGGGAAAGGUGAUGUUGUUCAAGAGUUUGUCAAUGCGGCUAAGGCCCGUGGCGUUGAUGUGGGGAUAUACCUAUCACCAUGGGAUCGACAUGAUAAAAGAUAUGGGGAUGAUUUACAAUACAAUGAAUACUACCUAGCCCAACUACAAGAGCUACUCAAUAACUAUGGUAGUGUUAGAGAAAUUUGGUUUGAUGGAGCAAAGGGCUCCAAUGCACCAAACAUCUCAUAUUACUUCUCAGAUUGGUUCUAUAUGGUGAAGGAGUUGCAAAGUUCUAUCAACAUAUUUUCCGACGCCGGCCCGGACGUUAGGUGGGUCGGAAAUGAGAAAGGGUUCGCCGGGAGCACAUGCUGGUCUACCGUCAAUCGGACUUCACUAUCAAUUGGAAAUGCAAGCAUUGAAAACUUACUUAACACUGGCGAUCCACGAGGGACCGAUUGGGUGCCACCAGAAUGUGACGUUUCUAUCAGACCCGGAUGGUUUUGGCAUAAAUCAGAAUCACCAAAAAAAUUAAGCCAGCUACUAGAGAUUUACUAUAAUUCAGUGGGACGAAACUGUUUGCUACUUCUAAAUGUGCCUCCUAAUACAACUGGGCUUAUAUCUGAUACUGAUGUUCAUAGAUUGAAGGAGUUUAGGAGUGCAAUUGACACAAUUUUUUCAGCCAAUUUGGCUGAGAAGGGCAUUGUAAAAGCUAGCAGCCAAAGAGGAGGCAAAGUGGGAGGUUUUGGACCUGAAAAUGUGCUAGAUAGUGACCAUAUAUGGACCUAUUGGGCACCAAGGGAUGUGGAUGUAAAGGACCCUUGGAUUGAAAUUAGAGGGACAAGUGAAAUGCUUAGAUUUAAUGUGGUAAGGAUUCAAGAAGCUAUAGGGCUUGGUCAGAGGAUCAAACGGCAUGAAAUUUAUGUGGAUGGUAAGAUGGUAGCAAAUGGAACCACUGUGGGGUACAAGAGGCUUCACAGGCUAGAUGAGGGAAUAGUCCAUGGCCAAGUUGUGAGGAUAAGAAUUAGAGAAUCAAAGGGUUUGCCUUUGAUUUCUUCAAUUGGUCUACACCUUGACCCCUUUUGGCACCCAAAUGAGCAGUGAUCUAAGUGAAGAUUAAGUGCAUGAAGUUUCAAAGUAUCCAUAAAGAAAUAAAUAAAAGGCACCAAGCACCUUAUUCCAGGCUUUCCAGCCCAUUAAUGACCAUAUUUUAUUUUGAAAGCCAAUGUGGCGUUUACAGUGCAGAUACUAUUGUAUAAUUGAUCUAUGAUUACUGAUUAUUUUAAAAUAAAAAAGAUUGCGAGAUCGAAAAUUCCCUAAAUAAUUAAUAAUUAAUGUGAGAUUUAGUGGGGGCAUUGCUUGUU